rnacentral:rRNA from 1 species
GUAACCUGCCCCUGACUCUGGGAUAAGCGUUGGAAACGACACUCUAAUACUGGAUAUGAUCACUGGCCGAAUGGUCUGGUGCUGGAAAGAUUUUUCGGUUGGAUAUGGACUCGCGGCCUAUCAUCUUGUUGGUGAGGUAAUGGCUCACCAAGGCGACUACGGGUAGCCGGCCUGAGAGGAUGACCGGCCACACUGGGACUGAGACACGGCCCAUACUCCUACGGGAGGCAGCAGUGGGGAAUAUUGCACAAUGGGCGAAAGCCUGAUGCCGCAACGCCGCGUGAGGGAUGACGGCCUUCUUGUUGUAAACCUCUUUUAGUAGGGAAGAAGCGAAAGUGACGGUACCUGCUUAAUAAGCACCUGCUAACUACAUGCCAGCAGCCGCGGUAAUACGUAGGGUGCAAGCGUUGUCCGGAAUUAUUGGGCGUAAAGAGCUCGUAUGCGGUUUGUCGCGUCUGCUGUGAAAUCCCGAGGCUCAACCUCUGGCUUGCCGUGGGUACGGGCAGACUACAGUGCGGUAAGGGAGAUUGGAAUUCCUGGUGUAGCGGGGGAAUGCGCAUAUAUCAGGAGGAACACCGAUGGCGAAGGCAGAUCUCUGGGCCGUAACUG